GCACUGGUGGCUCAGUGGUAGAAUGCUCGCCUGUCACGCGGGCGACCCGGCUUCGAUUCCCAGCCAAUGCG